rnacentral:lncRNA from 1 species
GGCCGUUUAGAGCAAAGUAGCAAACCGAACCCGACCGCUAGUCCUCAAUGCUCCUCUUCUGUGGCAGGUGGUCCUCCAUGAACAAUAAUGACUUUUGUACACUUAGGGAGCUCUUUGGUGCUAAGCAUUAGAUGAAAAUCCCUGUUUAAUCUGUAAAGAUCAACUGUACAACAACAGAUGCCACCUAGAUAAUUAUUGCACCUUUAGGAAGCAUUUGAUUCUGGAAUAAUGCACAUGGUUUGGAACAAGUCAUUGCGAAACAGUUUUUAAUGAAUAUCACACCUGCCUCCAUUUUUUGGAGUUUAGCUUUUGAUGACAAUCUCUGUUUAAUCUGUGAAGAUGAAUUGUGCUACCACGGAUGCCACCUAGAUAGUUACUACACCUUGAGGCAGCAUUUGAUUCCGCAAUAAAGCAAGCACAAGGUUUGAAACAAGUCAUUGCGCCACUCAAACAGUUCUUAGUGUUGCCAAACCCUGCCUCCAACAUAGCCAUUCCAAUAGACAUAUACUCCUAUUC